rnacentral:rRNA from 1 species
CUCCUACGGGAGGCAGCAGUGGGGAAUUUUGGACAAUGGGCGAAAGCCUGAUCCAGCCAUGCCGCGUGAGUGAAGAAGGCCUUCGGGUUGUAAAGCUCUUUUAGUCGGAAAGAAAGAGCUGCAAUGAAUAAUUGUGAUUUAUGACGGUACCGACAGAAAAAGCACCGGCUAACUACGUGCCAGCGCCGCGGUAA